rnacentral:rRNA from 1 species
UACGUAGGGUGCGAGCGUUGUCCGGAAUUAUUGGGCGUAAAGGGCUCGUAGGCGGUCUGUUGCGUCAGGAGUGAAAACUCGGGGCUUAACCCCGAGCCUGCUUCUGAUACGGGCAGACUAGAGGUAUGCAGGGGAGAACGGAAUUCCUGGUGUAGCGGUGAAAUGCGCAGAUAUCAGGAGGAACACCGGUGGCGAAGGCGAGUCUCUGGACAUUUCCUGACGCUGAGGCACGAAAGCCAGGGGAGCAAACGGG